rnacentral:lncRNA from 1 species
UAUUCAUUUAAGUGAUGAUUCAUCCUUACCAUGUAACUUCUUUUGGAUGUUGUGCUUGUUUCCAGGUAAAUCUGUAUAUGCUUUUAAGCCAACAACGCCCUCCUCUUCAGUAAUGUCUGUAAUGGGCACUGAAGAAAUACUUGUGCAGGUGAUUGGAAAGACAUAAUGGAAUCACAUGCGGAAGAACCAGGAAGAGAAAUUUGGGCCAUUUUUCAAAGAAAUGGUGCAAAGGCCACAGCACUAAGAGAAGAAGCGACUCUGGGGUGGGGGAGCAGCAUCCAGAACUUACCACACCUCUGUGAGUUAACGGAGACCCUCAGGGAAGGGAUCCAGAAGCAUGGAAGUCCAUGGUCCACAGACUUUGGAAUUGCAUACAUCCCAUUGGUGAAUUCAAAUGGCAGCAAGAGAGAAAAUUAGAAGCCUAGAUCCUUUUAGACACUGCCAGGUUGAAAUGAAAUCGUGUUUGUCAUGUGAUGUCAUGAGAUACCUAGAGAGUAUGACAUUAACCUGUUGACUGGCGCAAAGGCCCUCCUGCAUCUUGACCUUCCAGUCUCAGAAGCCCAGCUUUUGGCUCUGGGGCUGCCCUGUGCUCCGGGUUCCAUGCUAUUUUCCUCAACAUGCCAUGCUCACUCUUUUGUGCCUGAUGGUCUCUGUCUCUUUGUGUUCAUUUAUCAAAGUGCAUCCUGAGGAAAAGGUCUGUUCAGGUCAUUUGUACUGACAUGGACGUUACUGUAAAGACAAAGCGUCACCUCCUGGGGCACCAGCAUCAGAGCCCUGUGUGAGAGGAAGAGCCUCAGACAGCCACCGCUCUACAGAAGUGAGGACUGGGGUCUAACUUGCUCUUAGCACCCAAAGGGGCCGGUACUUCCACCCCCACACUUGACCUGGUUAGGCUCCUGGGACCCUGCACUCAGCUCCCCAUGAUAGCCGUGAAGAGACCUGGUGUAACUGUUCAUUGACCUGUCUGUAUAUUCCUCUAGGCUGUGAACACCUGGAGGGCAGAGGCUCAUUUGUGUAAUAAAUUUGUGUGCUGUCGUGCUUAGUGAAAUGCU